rnacentral:lncRNA from 1 species
AUUUAUAUAUUUUCUUGCACAUUUUGGUGAUGAUUUUGUACAUAAACAUUCUGUGAUUUUGUAUAUACUCUCAUUCAUUUGUUGAUGCAGAGAAGUGCUAUUUUCUGUUUGUUAUUGUUUUGGUUAUGUAUUCAAUAUUGUGUGUAUCAUUUAGUUAUUUAGUGUACAAGGUGCUAUGUUCAUGGGUGUUCUUUUACCCUGCGAUAUUGUAAAAUAAGGCAUAGAAAUGUCUUUAUUUGUCCCUUUCUUGGUCUUUCCAUUGGCCAGUAACACACUUCUUAUCUGAUAAAUUACUUCAAUUUUUAUGCUAAUUGGGGUGGUUUGUCAUCAUAUGCUAUUGACCGUACUAUUUCCCACUAAAAUUUAACAAUGUUUGCCAAGUAAUGGGAAUUUGACAAUUUUUGACUGAUUGCGACCUGACACUUACUGAAUCUACUCUACGACCAUUUGUCUAUAUAGGAUUCACCCACUUAUUAAAAUAGUUUUUAUCAUAUAAAGAUGACUAUACUAUAAUUCCAUUUGGACUUGACAAUUUUUGCAUGAGAUAUUUCAGUCUGACAAUUUUUGGCCUGUUUCAACAUAAAGACACAAAUAGUUGGGAAUAUUUCUCCCAACCCUUAAAAUCUCGAAAUUAGUUGAUAAAUUGUAACUCAAAAUGAAAAAGUAUUUUGCCAAAUUUUCACAACAAUCAAUAAAUUUUGAAAAAUGAUAUGGUAUCACACAACACAAUUAUAGUUCAAAUAAAGAAACAAUUCCAAGAAUAAUCAAGGUAGAAAUUCUAAAAAUGUAAUUGAAUAAAAUUAACCCUAAACUAAUAUACAUGUAUAUAUAGAUCAUCAUAUUACACACUAUUAUAUUUAGGGUAAGGGAGGGCAGGUUAAUAUUUUUCUCUUAUAUCUACCGAAAUCGUUGAUCGACCCUUCAACUCGAAAAUAAAUACAUCCUAUAUAUAAAAGAACUAAAUGUUUACCUUGUGAAAACCAAUCUUGAAGUGAAAAUUUCAGGUAUGUAAUUUAACAGGUAAAUGCAAGUGAGAAGAUUUCAACUGAUGUUUCAAUCAAAAAAUGUAUAACAGAACUUUGGUAAACAAUUUUGAAACAGUGAAGUAGAAUAAAUUUUGCAAGAAAGUAAAAUUCUUUCUCUGUAAUUAAUCAUUUUUAUUAGAAUAAAAAUUUCCAAAUGAUCACGUUUUAAUGCUUAAGGCUGCAAGAAGGGGAUAAUUACAAACUUCCAAACCAAUGAUAAUGUAAUGCCUGAUGCCACAGACUAUAGCGGCUAUUUAUAACAAUGUAUUAUGUGCCACAUCAGACAUUUUGUUUAUGUUAUGGCAUACCCUGACUGUAUCAGUAAACAUCAUUUAAUCAUAUCAGUGUACAUUAUGUCAGUAUCAAUAAACAUCAUUUAAUCAUCAGUGUACAUUAUGUCAGUGUAUCUGUAAACAUCAUGUAAGUGUAUCGGUAAACAUCAUGUAAGUGUAUCAGUAAACAUCAUGUAAGUGUUUGAAACAUCAUGUAAGUGUAUUGGUAGACAUCUUGUAAGGGUAUUGGUAAACAUCAUGUAAGUGUAUCAGUAAACAUCAUGUAAGUGUUUGAAACAUCAUGUAAGUGUAUUGGUAAACAUCUUGUAAAGGUAUUGGUACACAUCAUGUAAGUUUAUCAGCAAAUAUCUUGUAAGUGUAUUAGUAAACAUUAUGUUAGCGUUUGAAACAUCAUGUAAGUGUAUCGGUACACAUCUUGUAAGGGUUUGAAACAUCAUGUAAGUGUAUCGGUACACAUCUUGUAAGAGUUUGAAACAUCAUGUAAGUGUAUCAGUACACAUCAUGCAAGUGUUUGAAACAUUAUGUAAGUGUAUAUGUAAACAUCUUGUAAAGGUAUUCAUACACAUCUUGUAAGUGUUUGAAACAUCAUGUAAGUGUUCAGUACACAUCUUGUAAGUGUUAGAAACAUCAUGUAAGUGAAUCAGUACACAUCUUGUAAGUGUAUUGGUAAACAUCAUGUAAGUGUAUGGGUAGACAUCUUGUAAGGGUAUUGGUAAACAUCUUGUAAGUGUAUUAGUAAACAUUAUGUAAGUGUUUGAAACAUCAUGUAUGUGUAUAGGUACACAUCUUGUAAGAGUUUGAAACAUCAUGUAAGUGUAUCGGUAAACAUCAUGUAAGUGUAUUGGUAGACAUCUUGUAAGGGUAUUGGUAAACAUCUUGCAAGGGUAUUGGUACACAUCAUGUAAGUGUAUCGGUAAACAUCAUGUAAGUGUAUUGGUAAACAUCAUGUAAGUGUAUUGGUAGACAUCUUGUAAGGGUAUUGGUAAACAUCUUGUAAGUGUAUCAGUACACAUCAUGUAAGUGUAUCAGUAAACAUCUUGUAAGUGUAUCAGUACACAUCUUGUAAGUGUAUCAGUACACAUCAUGUAAGUGUAUCAGUACACAUCAUGUAAGUGUAUCAGUAUACAUCAUGUAAUUGUAUCAGUAUACAUCAUGUAAGUGUAUCAGUACACAUCAUGUAAGUGUAUCAGUAUACAUCAUGUAAUUGUAUCAGUAUACAUCAUGUAAGUGUAUCAGUAUACAUCAUGUAAUUGUAUCAGUAUACAUCUUGUUACUGUUUUGGUGUGCAUCAUGUUAGUGUAUCAGUACACAUCUUGUUACUGUAUCAGUAUACAUUAUGUAAGUGUAUUAGAACACAUCUGAUAAUCAAUUGAAAGGGACAGGUUAUUUUCUUGUUUUUCCAUUUUCCUUUGUAUUUUUAGGUUUAAAUUGUUUUUUGUCUUGUAUAGUGUAAAUGCUUCAUGUACAUAUUAAUGUUUUUACUGGAAUCCUGUUUUCAAUAGAUAUAUUUUUACAUAUAUAAUAAAGUUUAAAAUACUUAUCAACGUGACAUUUAAAAUCAAAUCAAAUCAAUUUUUAGGUAUCAGAAAUAUUCUAUUUGAUUGAUAGUUAUUGGAAAUAUUCACACAAUAAUUACCAGCUGCAUUUGUUUGCACCUGUCCUUAGUCAAGAAUUUGAUGUUCAGUAGUUGUUGUUUGUUGAUGUGGCUCACAAGUGUUUUUCAUUUCUCAUAUAGAUUAGACCGUUGGUUUUCCUGUUUGAAUGGUUUAACACUAGUAACUUUUUUGGGGUCCUUUAUAGCUUGCUGUACUGUGUGAGUUAAAGCUAUAUAAGACCAUACUUUGACCUAUAAUGGUUUACUUUACAAAUAGCAACUUGGAUGAGAGAGUUGUCUCUUUGACACUCAUACCAUAUCUUCCUAUAUCUAAAUAAGAAAAUGGUUUGGACUAUGUUUUUUUUUCACUUGUUUCAAAUCUGUGAAGCAGUAAUACACAUUUUAUGUAUUGCUUUGUGUGUUAAAGGUUGCAUUUCUGUAAAUAUAGACAAUUCAAUUUUCCAUACCAAUUCCCUUACUGUGCCACUUUCACUACAAAGUAACAUAAAAAAUUAUAUCCUAGAAUGGAAAGAUGAAAUGCACUUCUAUUUUAUUCAAAGGUCAAAACCUAGGGCUGUGCGGCACAUUUUAAACAUUUACAUGCCCUGAACUUGUUAAGAAUUUAAACAUCUACUAAAUUUCUGUACUACUUCUACCUUCUCUUUGUGCUUUACGUUUAGAAUUCAAUUUUAAUCACAAUAGUAUGUUUUUAUACUGGUAAAAGUCCCAAGUUUUGUCUAUAUGAUCAAAUCUUGGAACAGGUAUGUUUAACUAAUCAAAUUGUCAAUAAAUAUUAUCUAUCUCCCUAAAAGAGUUGUGGUUUAAGAAACAGCUGUAUUUACAAAUUGCAACCUAUUGUAAUUCAAAUUUUAACUAAUAUAUGAGUUGUAGUAACACUCACUUAAUGCAUUGCAUUGUGUGUUAUAGUAAUACCAACUUUAUGUUAUUCUUUGUGUGUUAUAGAAAAUCACUCUUUAUGUAUUGUUUUGUGUGUUAUAAUAAAAACCACUUAAUGUAUUGCUUUGUGUGUUUUUGUAAUACACACUGAAUGCAUUGCUCUGUGUGUUAUAGUAACACACACUGAAUGCAUUGCUUUUUGUGUUAUAGUAAUACACACUUAAUGUUAUACUCUGUGUGUUAUAGUAACACACACUUAAUGUAUUGCCUUGUGUGUUAUAAUAAUAAAUACUUAACACAUUGCUUUGUGUAUUAUAGUAAUACACACUUAAUGUUUUGCUUUGUGUGUUAUAGUAACACACAUUUUAUGUAUUACUCUGUGUGUAAUAGUUAUACACACUGAAUGCAUUGCUUUAAUGUGAUACAGAUAGUAGAAUUCAAAGACAAUUGUUAUAAACAGGGUAGGUUACUUCAUCCUUGUAUAUUCUGUAACAUAUGUAAAUUUUAUGUAAUUAUCAUGUAAAUAGAUCUCAUAAAUGUACAUAUGUAAAUAUUGUAAAUGGUUAGUAAUUCAGUCAGAGCUUAAACAUGUGUACUUUAUUUACUACUACUAAUUUUGAUUGUAAAUAUGGAAAUAGUUCAAUUUUACUGAUUGAGAAGGGAAAAAAUUAUCAUUUAUUAAAUAAUUAUUCACAUUUCGCUGAAAUUACUUUCCCUGUGCAAACAUCAGUCAACAGCCUUAGUAGUCUGCACAUGAUCGUUGAUAGUUUUAGAUAACACACAUAUGUUUAGUUUAGUUAUGUAAAACAGAUUUCUGUUUCAUUUUGGACUGUUUGAGCAGAAAUUUGAAAGUUUUGCAAUUGUAAAAAAGAACUAUUGUAUUUAGGUUCAUCUUAAAAAAACUUUCAGCAAUAAGUGUCAAUAAUACGGCAGCUUCUGUUUUGUUAUUUAUCUGUAUCAUCAAAUGUUUACUUCACUCUUGAAAUUUAAUACAGAAGCAUCAGUUAAUUUUUGAAUAUAGGUUAUAAGUUUGAAUAUAUGCUGGUUUUGCUCAAUUUACUAUAAAAAUAAGCAUUCAUUCUUCAAUAUGUUUUAAAAUUUGUCUCUGGUCUCAGUUGGUCUUUAGGCUAAACAGUGACUUUAAAUGAUAUUUUGACAUGUUGAAUCUAAGAUAUUUGCUUACAUUCAUUACCUGUCAAACAUCUGUAACCAGGUAGCAGUCAAAUUUUAAAAACAUUUAUUUCAAGGCAACUUAAGGCACUUUAUAGACACCUUUUCAGGAACCAAAUAUCACUUUUGAAAAUUCAUCUAUAUGUCAUAUAAAAAAACCAAAUUCAGAUAUGUCAGCAGUUUCUUGCAAUACUUUUAAAAUAUGUUUAAAAUAUAAAAAAAAGAUAAUGUGGUAAGAUUGCCAAUGAGACAACCGUCAACAAGAGACCAUAAUGACACAGAAAUUAACAACUACUGGUCACUGUAUGGCCUUCAGCAAGGUGCAAAUCCCAUGAUGUAUAAUUUGAAGAAAAUCAUUGUUUAAAGAAAAAUAUGAAUUUAUAUAGGAAAAUACUCGCACUUAAUUUCUAUAUUUGUUUAUAAAUAAUGAUUUUUCAGUAAUGACAUACCAUUAGAAUAUUACAUAAUUAAUAUAGAAAACUGUACUUAACAGCAAAAUCUGGUGAAUAUUAGACCUUAAAUAAACAGAGAAGAUAUUACUAAGUUGUAAAACUUAUCUGUAAUCUAUUAGUCUUUUUGAUUGAUAAAAUAUACUAACUUUAAACUACAAAAAACAAUAUUGGUGGAUAUAUCUGAUAAAUGUCCUCGUUUGUAAUUUAGUAUCAUUUAAUAUUUUUUCUGGUUUCCAAUGGAAUUAUUUAUUAGAAAUAGUAUAUUUAGUAUGUAAAAUUGUAAAUGUAUAUAUAUUUUUGAUUGUUAAAAUUUAAUUUACUGCAUUAAAAUGUGAAAAAAAUAUUACAAAGAUAAUGUAAUAAAUAUUAGCGAUUUGAUUUUUCAAAUUAAUCAAAAUUCUGACCAAGUGACUAACCAAAUGAAAUAAGACCUGAAUUCUGCCACUUUGUAAUUCAUGUACUAGACAUAUAUUGCUGUUAAUUGGUACCUUGUAAUUUGUUGACAUUUAUUUUGGCAUGAUAUAGAAUUAUUAGGUUAAUGAAUAAUUGGAGACUAGUUAAAGGUAAUAUCUGAUACACUCACACAAGAAUUCAUUGUAUAUAGUAAGUAUCUAGAUGGUUAAUGUAUGGGCUGUCUUUCAAUUCA